UACGGAGGAUGCAAGCGUUAUCCGGAAUGAUUGGGCGUAAAGCGUCCGUAGGUGGUCUUUCAAGUCUGCCGUUAAAGGUCGGGGCUUAACUCCGAAAAGGCGGUGGAAACUGAAAAACUCGAGAUAGGUAGGGGUAGAGGGAAUUCCCGGUGUAGCGGUGAAAUGCGUAGAGAUCGGGAAGAACAUCGGUGGCGAAAGCGCUCUACUGGACCUGUUCUGACACUGAGGGACGAAAGCUAGGGGAGCGAAUGGG
rnacentral:rRNA from 1 species